rnacentral:rRNA from 1 species
GAGUUUGAUCUUGGCUCAGAAUCAACGCUGGCGGCGUGCCUAACACAUGCAAGUCGAGCGAGAAAAGGGGAGCAAUCCUCUGAGUAAAGCGGCGCACGGGUGAGUAACGCGUGGGUAACCUACCCUAGAGUGGGGAAUAACACCGGGAAACCGGUGCUAAUACCGCAUACGAUCACGAUGUCUUCGGAUGUUGUGAUGAAAGGAGCAAUUCGCUCUUGGAGGGGCCCGCGGCUGAUUAGCUUGUUGGUGAGGUAACGGCUCACCAAGGCUACGAUCAGUAUCCGGUCUGAGAGGACGGUCGGACACACUGGAACUGAGACACGGUCCAGACUCCUACGGGAGGCAGCAGUGGGGAAUUUUUGGCAAUGGGGGAAACCCUGACCAAGCAACGCCGCGUGGGUGAUGAAGUCUCUUGGGACGUAAAACCCUUUCGACGGGGAAGAAAGGCCGCAAGGCUUUGACGGUACCCGUAGAAGAAGCCCCGGCUAACUCCGUGCCAGCAGCCGCCGUAAU